rnacentral:piRNA from 1 species
UCCCAGUUUAGGUGGAUAGGACCCUUCGA